CCUGCCGCUAACUCUGCGCGCCAGCGAGCUCGCUACGGCCCCCACCCGUUCCGAGCGCAGCGCUGAGCAGGCUCGCCGCCUAUUUUGAGAACAAAGGAUGGCAAAAUAUAGAAUCCCGGAGAGAGAGUGCGGGGGACGCCGAGACCCUCUCGCCUUGCACGCGCACACACACACACACACACACACACACACGCAGUGCACAACACACCUGGGUCUGUCUACCUCGGGCAGACGCUCCUUGAAUUCAGGCUCUUUCAGGGACUUGCUGGGGUGUGUGACCAGAUCCCCGGGGCAAAAGAUAGGCCCAGGUCACGGCCUCCGGCUCUGCUGGGUUUGAAGGACGACCUCCCUACCGCCGCCCAGCCAUCCGUCCCGCGGGCAGGAAGACCUGGAACCACAUGCCCAUCCCCACCCACAUCUACAGACCCAAGCGGGAGGAGCUCCUUUCUCGGACAGCAGGCGCACCCCUGCGCUAUCCCCACCCCCCACGCCCACGGCGGCUCCCGGACCCCGCCAGAGGAGAAACCCUGCAGGGAUCCAGCUUGCCGCCAAACCACAGUUUGGCCACCCGGUACUCUCUGGCAUCCGGAGAGAACUGAUCUCAACGGAAGAACUGGUCGGGUUUGCCGUCACAGAUUCCACAGUCGUUUAUGCUGGGGAGCGAACGACUUUUCUGAGCGUCACCUCACUCCCGCUCUUGGCGAGGCCCGAGACACACAGAAACGUGAGCACCCAGCCUCAGAGGUUCUUUACUAAGCUCUUCGUCCUCCCGUGACUGGGCUAUUGACUCAACCUCUGAGAGGGUGAGAUCGCUCCCCUCCGACCAAAAUAGCAAUCGCUCAGCCCUGGGGCGGAGGCGGGGAGGCAGUGUGUGGGGCCCGGGAGCUCAGAACGCAAAGGCUGCGCCCCUUGGACGGAGCGGGCUCGGCGGGCUCCCAAGGGCACCUAAGUGCCUUUCCUUCUCCGAGCUGCGGUGGAAAAGCUGGUCGUAAAGCUCACUCCAGAGUUUGCUGUGAAGAUGACAAGAGAUGACCCGGAGAAUGUGCUGGAGAAAUGACGGGCGCUCUGUUCCUGGUCCUGACCCUCCUGCGGGUAGUGUUUUUUCAGCAGGGAGUGAACCCAUGCUCCCCAAUAUAUAUACUUCCUGGCCACGUCUUUGGGGGAAAACUGGUCAAAGGACAGUGGGGAAACAGUGCCAUGAAGUGCCCCAGCCCCCCAAAGUCUGGCCUCUUUGGUCUUUUCCUCCAUGUUAUCAGCCCAGGGACCAAAGUUGAAAAGUAGGUUUCUAAUGCCUUCAGGGGCUUCCCAGGUGGCACUCGUGGUAAAGAAUAGACAUGAGUUCCAUUGCCUGGAGGAGGGCAGGGCAAUUCCAGUAUUCUUGCCUGGAGAAUCCACAAGGACAGAGGAGCCUGGCGGGCUACAGUCCAUAAGGUCACAAAGAGCCAGACAUGACUGAAGCGACUUAGCAUGCAUACAGUGCCUUCAGAUUCAAGUUCAGUGGCGUGGUGGUGGCUGGGGGUGGGGCAAUAUGGUAUGGCUCUGAUUCCCUUUCUUGAGGCUUAAUUUCCAGCAGACCAUGCACCAAGGCUACAUGGUCUGGCAUGCCCUCCACCGCUGCCUUCUCACCCACAGCUCCUGUCCCACGGGCUAGGGUCAUCAUCUGCCUGUUUGGUUCCCCACUGACCAUGGCAAGGCCAUGUGGCACAGCACCUCCUGGUACAGUGCCUGGCACAGCAGCUGACAUUGAUUACUGGUAACCCAAUGAUUGACAGUCCUUCUUUGGGGAAUCUCCUGCUCCAGCCUAUUUCCAUCUCUCUUUCCACAUCAAAGUCCACCCAGUCCCCAAGAAAGUGAAGUUGCUCAUUCAUGUCCAACUCUUUGCGACCCCAUGGACUGUAGCCUGCCAGGCUCCUCCAUCCAUGGAAUUUUCCAGACAAGAGUACUAGAGUGGGUUCCAUUUCCUUCUCCAGGGGAUCUUCCCAACUCGGGAUCGAACCCAGGUCUUCCACAUUGCAAGCAGACACUUUACCAUCUGAGCUGCUAAGGAAGCCCCCAGUCCCCAAGACCAAGGUCAAAUGCUGACUCUUCCACGCAGGCCUCUCUGUCCCCAGGGAUAUGCAUUCAUCUCUCCCUAGUCCCUGGAUCAGUUGGAAAAGACUCUCAUGGCUUCGACCAUGUUCUGCCCUGAAUUACCAUUCUCUCUGUAAAUUCUACACCUCCCUGCUUGGUUGUCACUUCUCAGAGUCAGAAUUGGGUCUUGCCCAUCUCUACGUGGCUUACAUUGCCCAGCUGUGCCCACCCCGGGCACACAGUAGAUGCUCAGGAGAUGUUUGUUGAACUCAACUCUGCAGGUCUGUUCACCAUUUCUUAGCUGAGGGCCUGACUUGAGGUGGACACUGAUGCUGAUGGUGGUAUCUCUGCAGAUCUGGGCUGAGAGAAACCUCAGCAAUCUUGUCUGGAGAUGCCCCACUCCACCCAGACCUGAGGAGGCAGGCCCUGACAGAGUGCCUGUCCUGCUUUUCUUCCACCCUGGGAGGAAGUUCAGAAUCUGUCUGGCAACCUGGGAGUAUGAGGGGGAGGUGAUGGAAGGAAGAAAAACCCACUUGGGUCAGAGUCACCAUCUACCCAAUCAGCUGUUUGAAACAAAAGCCAGGGUCUUGCAGUGAUGGGACAGACCCUGGCCUCAUCUGGACUCACAGCAGCAUUUGCUGCUCAGAGAACCAUGAUGAGCUGGUGACUGUGGGUGAAGAAGGUGCCCUGCCGCAGCCAGCCCCUCCACAUACACCUACAGGCCUGUCACUGGCUCUGUUUGUGGUCCUUCUUGGCUGCAGUUCUUCCCCAGACUCUCAACUCUGCAACCUAGUCAGCACAUCUGGGGUCUUCUCAUGGAACACUCUGGUCCUCCCAGGUGGGGUGCGGAGGAGUACUCUGUGCAGGGAGGGGCCACGACACCCCCACUUGGCCUCCUAGAUGCAACUCUCCUUGAAUGUGUCUCCACAGCCAUCACAGGGGCCAUCUGAUGACAGUUUCACUCAGGUUGCCUCAGGUAACCAACUGUGUUGUGAGGAGAUGCCUGGGAGUAAGGCGGUUGGGAUGUCCUGUGUGUGUUCAUUCCUGAUGGGCCCUGGCACACAGGGGAGCCUGGAGGGCUGUUUGGCUCCGGGGUCUCUCUGACUGCCUGGGCUGUCUUGUAGCCCCAAGGCAGCAGGAACUCCAAGAUUCCAGGUUGGAGUGCUGCCUCCAAGGCUGCUCAGCAGCUCACUUAUCCCUGCUUCCUGGCCCGCUGUCUGCAGCUCUAGUUCAAAUUAUUAAGAAGCAAAGAACUUGAAUGACUCAGGUUAGCCUGGGUCCCUGGUCAGCGAGAGUGUCUGCCCCAGGUCAUCUCUGGGUGCUUGGGAUGUCCAGAGAUCUACAACCUUUGUCUUCUAGGACCCUGAACUCAGGCCACUCCACUAGAUUGGAGUAGGAUCCAGUGGGGCUGCCCUUGGCAGAGAGGUAGGAAUGGGGAGUCUCUUGGAAAGGUUCCUUUGAUGUGUUGGGCACUUUGACUGGCCUGUCCAAUACCGUCAUGUUCUGGAAUAGACCUUGACUUCUCCCUCCAUCCCAAGCCUGAGUGAAUCGGGAAACUCAUCACGUGGACAGCAGGUUUCAUUGCUGAGCUGAUGUUCACACCAGGCCCCUCGUAGGGCCCAAAGGAACAGUGGCUGACCUCACCGUGUGCAGCUGAUGGCCGUGGGACCGGAACGGCCAAAGGUGUAGGGAACAGCCUGCCAGUCUCCCCAGAGGCUGCUCUCUGUGCCACUCAGCCCCUAUUUAGUCUGCAAGAACAGGUUUGGUCAGAGAAGACCUGGGACUCCUGUGGAACACAGAUCUGCCAGGAGAAGAGGCAUCUAGCCCCGCCACUCUCACCAGAGGCUUCAUCCUGAGCCCACAGAAGGUAAAGUGACUACCUCGGCAACAGAGUCAAGAGUAAAGACCCCUGGGCUGGGAAUUCGAACUGGCUUCUAAUUCCAUCACUGCCAUUAAGUCCCCAUGUAACUCAAGACAAGUGAUGCCCCUUCCCUGGGACCCUUUUUAUCACCUGGUUUAUAGACUGGUGGAAGGAGAUAAUCAAGAUUAUCAGGACAGACAGGGAGACCUGGUUACACCCAUAACUUUGGUGGAAACUGACACAGCCAACAAGAGCCCUGUGCCCCUUGAAAUUGGGGGCGAGGGGUAGGUGGCAGAAUGCACUACUCUCUUGGGAUCUGGCCUCUGUCUGACUAGGCCCUCUCUUCCCCAACAGGCCUCUCAUCUGAUGCCUUCUUAGCCUCUCUUGCCUGGCAGUCUCCUGCAGCAAGCAAGGAUGCCACAUCCUUCUAAGUUCUUCCCAACAAGGCAGGUGAAGAUCCAUUCAUUCAGUCCUUCAACAACUUCCAGUGGCCCAAAGUCAUUUUUGCUCAAAUUGUUGCCCUCUCAGAUUCUGUUCCUUGACCACCAGAUUUUAUUCCAUAUCCUACCCAAGCUUUGCUCCCAAGAUUUUCCAGUCUGUGAGUCCAACCUCUUCCCUAGAGGCACCAGCACCCCCUCAUCUUACCAACCUCCAGCUCUGUACCUGAGAGUCCUGGAAAGGCCCCACCCACACUCUUCCCUUCUACUGCACUGGGGGUCCUGCCCCUUAAUCACCAUCUCCCUACAUCUCCCUAGCCCCCAAUCCCUGAGAGGGGAGCACUGGCCAAAGCCAAUGACUUUGCAAGACCCUAAGUUUGGAUCUUGCUACUGAUAGAGGGGUGAUUAUGUUUGUUGCUCUUUUGGGCAAAGGUGGAAAAGCUGAGCAGCAGAUGAUUAAAUUUGGAAAAACCUGCCAAGGAUCCAGUGGCAUGAAGCCAAGAGCUGGAUUCAAACCGAGAGGUAGAAUAGGUGCCAGCUCAGCUGGUGUGGACACGUUUGGCAACUGACAUUUCAAAAAUGUAGCCCACUCCAGUACACUUGCCUGGAAAAUCCCAUGGAUGGAGGAGCCUGGUAGGCUGCAGUCCAUGGGGUCACUAGGAGUCAGACACGACUGAGCAACUUCACUUUCGGAGAAGGAAAUGGCAACCAGCUCCAGUGUUCUUGCCUGGAGAAUCCCAGGGAUGGGGAUGCCUGGUGAGCUGCCGUCUGUGGGGUCGCACAGAGUUGGACACGACUGAAGCUACUUAGCAGCAGCAGCAGCAGCACUCCGGCUGGAGAAAGCUGGCUAGCUCCACAAAGGGAGGUGACUCUUGGACUAAACCUCAAAAGUGGCUCCAGAUGAUUUAAUACAGCCAGAGCUGAAGAUCUCCAGCACAAAGCAAAGACAGACUGGGUUGUUCUGGGGACUCUCCUGGUUGUUGAGGAAGAUCUGAAUCAGAGGGAAGAGAAACUAAUAUGGUUGGAGGGGACUUCCCUAGCGGUCCAGCGUGUUAAGACUCUGCACUUCCCUGGAACUAAGAUCCCGAAUGCCAUGCGGUGCAGCCAGAAAGUAAAAAAUAAAAUAAUAAAAAAUAAAAAUAGUGGGAGCUCCAUAUUGAAAGGGUUUCGAUGCUUUGGGACCUUAUCCUAAUAAACACAAG
ensembl:lncRNA